rnacentral:lncRNA from 1 species
AUCAUCAGCUGCAUCAUCGUCAAUGUCAGAUGCAGAAGAUGGCACUUUAUCAGCUCUUCCGCCACCGCCACCUCCACCUCCAUUGCCCCCAACUGGUGAUGUAGAUUCUGUAGAUGGGUCUGCGAUUCCUGCAUCUUUACCUUUACCUCCUCCACCGCCUAUGCCCCCAAAGCCUGCAAUGACAGACAUGGGUGCUUCAUUGCCAUUACCUCCUUUGCCCCCACCGCCUCCUGGCCCCCCACCAAAGGAACUGAUCUCUGGCCAUCUUCCACUUCCUCCACCUCCUCCCCGACCUCUUCAUCAAUCUGCUCAACUUCCUCAUUCUGGCAUAGGUGGAAAUGAAAGGGAUAAAAAUCUUUCUGAAUUGGAUGAGAGGUCCGCAACAGAGCAAAAUCAGGUAUACUUCUUAUUAAUAAGAUAUUUGGGACAUUUGUAUAAAUGAUUUAUGUACGGUUUCUAGUCCUUGGCCCUAAAGUUAUUCACGAUCUUGUUAACUUUUCAGGCCUCAUCCAUGUUUCCCCCACCACCUCCUCCACCAGGGUUGCCUUUGAAGUCAGAUGGCAUGCCUGCUGACUCUGAUGCUAAAGUUUUGGAAACAAAAGAUCAUCUUAAGUUACCUCCACCACCUCCACGGCACCCUUCAGGUCUUGGACCUGCCAUGGUCCCAACUUUUCAGCCUGAUGUAUUACCUCCUGGAAUAUCUCGGUUCCCUCCACCCCCGCCUCCAACUGAUAUGCGGCCACCACCUGGAAUUGCUAUCCAGCCUGCUCCUCCUGGAAUGAUGGUCCCUCUCUUGCCAAGACCACCUUUUGGACCUCCACUAAUGAUGAGACCACCGCUUCCACCUGGUCCACCUCCUUUUCAACAGGAUGGUGCUAGACUGCUUGCUCCUCAA